rnacentral:snoRNA from 1 species
AGAUGGCUGUUCCUCUCAUUGCUUUUGAGUUUUGGCAGUGGGAUUUUAGGCCAUCACAGAUCAAAUCUGGUCUUUUCUUCACUCAGGGCACCAUUGGAUGGAUUGGCCAUCCGUUAGUGCUUUCUGAAUUUUGCGGGGCCAGACAUAA